GUGAAUCAUCGAAUUUUUGAGCGCAAAUUGCACUCUCCUCGGAGAGUAUGCCUGUUUGAGGGUCGUUAGAACAAAAUUCGAAGCGUCUCUCUUUUUUUUAAGGGUGAUCGGGUCGGAAUUGAGCCGUCUUUCAAAUGUUAAUUCAUGUAAAAGUGGCUUAAAAUUCAUCCAUCCGGUACGAUUAAAGCGUAUUUAGGAUCAAUUUUGAUUAAGAACGCGCGAUGAACGUACCAUCUCAUGUAUUACGUUUGACCUGGGUCAUA
rnacentral:misc_RNA from 1 species